rnacentral:rRNA from 1 species
UACAGAGGGCUCAAGCGUUGUUCGGAUUCAUUGGGCGUAAAGGGCGCGUAGGCGGCGGGGUAAGUCGGGUGUGAAAUCUCAGAGCUCAACUCUGAAACUGCACUCGAUACUGCUCUGCUUGAGGACUGGAGAGGAGACUGGAAUUCACGGUGUAGCAGUGAAAUGCGUAGAUAUCGUGAGGAAGACCAGUGGCGAAGGCGGGUCUCUGGACAGUUCCUGACGCUGAGGCGCGAAGGCCAGGGGAGCAAACGGG